AGAAACCUCCAAUCUCAUCAUCAUGCGGGGGGCUCGGGCCAGCACCAGGACACUCAACCUCAGCCAGCUCAGCUUCCACCGCGUUGACCAGAAGGAGAUCACCCAGCUGUCCCACUUGGGCCAGGGCACAAGGACCAAUGUGUAUGAGGGCCGCCUGCGAGUGGAGGGCAGCAGGGACACUGAGGAGGGCAAGAUGGAUGACGAGGACCCCUCGUGCCUGGCAGGGAGCAUGGGCAGGAGCUACGAGUGGUGCUCAAAGUGCUGGACCCUAGUCACCAUGACAUCGCCCUGGCCUUCUACGAGACAGCCAGCCUCAUGAGCCAGGUCUCCCACGCACACCUGGCCUUCGUGCAUGGCGUCUGUGUGCGCGGCCCUGAAAGUGAGUGGGUCCUGCCAUACCCAUCCCCCUUUGGCAGGCCACCCCUGACUUAUACCCGCUCCCUGAUCUGUACCCCAGCCCUCGACCUACACGCCAACCAAUGCCUAUUUCUCGACUCUCACCUGUACUCUUAUCCCGGGCUACACCUUGACCUUCAACCUAGACCCCAACGCCUAACAAUAUUCCAGCCCAUAACUUACAUCCCA
rnacentral:sRNA from 1 species